GAUGAAGAACGUAGCGAAAUGCGAUAAGUAAUGUGAAUUGCAGAAUUCAGUGAAUCAUCGAAUCUUUGAACGCAUCUUGCGCUCCUUGGUAUUCUGAGGAGCAUGCCUGUUUGAGUGUCAUUAAAUUCUCAACUACACUGACUUGGAAUUGGUGUGGCUUGGAUUUGGGGGGAAAAUUGUUGUGGGCUUUUUGUAUAGUCUGCUCCCCUGAAAUUGAUUAGCGGUACCUUUGUGGAACUGUCUACAGGUGUGAUAAUUAUCUACAUCUUAGACAUCUGCUGGAAUGCUGCUUUCUAAACCUUACUUGUAUUGACAAUCUUGACCUCAAAUCAGGUAGGACUACCCGCUGAACUUAAGCAUAUCAUAAGCGGAGGA
rnacentral:misc_RNA from 1 species